CAGUAGCCGCGGUAAUACGAAGGUCCCGAGCGUUGUUCGGAAUCACUGGGCGUAAAGGGAGCGUAGGCGGCGUGGUAAGUCAGAUGUGAAAUCCCGGGGCUCAACCCCGGAACUGCAUCCGAUACUGCCAUGCUAGAGGAUUGGAGAGGUAGCUGGAAUUCUUGGUGUAGCAGUGAAAUGCGUGGAGAUCAAGAGGAACACUCGUGGCGAAAGCGAGCUACUGGACAAUAACUGACGCUGAGGCUCGAAGGCCAGGGUAGCGAAAGGGAUUAGAGACCCCCGUAGUCCCUGUCUCUUAUAC
rnacentral:rRNA from 1 species